rnacentral:tRNA from 1 species
GGACCAUUAGCUCAAUCGGUAGAGCAUCCGACUCUUAAUCGGGCGGUUGGAGGUUCGAGUCCUCCAUGGUCCACCA